GAUGAACGCUGGCGGCGUGCCUAAUACAUGCAAGUCGAGCGAACAGAUGAGGAGCUUGCUCCUCUGACGUUAGCGGCGGACGGGUGAGUAACACGUGGAUAACCUACCUAUAAGACUGGGAUAACUUCGGGAAACCGGAGCUAAUACCGGAUAAUAUAUUGAACCGCAUGGUUCAAUAGUGAAAGACGGUUUUGCUGUCACUUAUAGAUGGAUCCCGGCCGCAUUAGCUAGUUGGUAAGGUAACGGCUUACCAAGGCAACGAUGCGUAGCCGACCUGAGAGGGUGAUCGGCCACACUGGAACUGAGACACGGUCCAGACUACUACGGGAGGCAGCAGUAGGGAAUCUUCCGCAAUGGGCGAAAGCCUGACGGAGCAACGCCGCGUGAGUGAUGAAGGUCUUCGGAUCGUAAAACUCUGUUAUUAGGGAAGAACAAAUGUGUAAGUAACUAUGCACGUCUUGACGGUACCUAAUCAGAAAGCCACGGCUAACUACGUG
rnacentral:rRNA from 1 species